rnacentral:rRNA from 1 species
GCCAAAGGGGGGGGGACUACACAUGCAAGUCGAACGGCAGCACAGAAGAGCUUGCUCUUUGGGUGGCGAGUGGCGGACGGGUGAGUAAUGUCUGGGAAACUGCCCGAUGGAGGGGGAUAACUACUGGAAACGGUAGCUAAUACCGCAUAACGUCGCAAGACCAAAGUGGGGGACCUUCGGGCCUCACACCAUCGGAUGUGCCCAGAUGGGAUUAGCUAGUAGGUGGGGUAAUGGCUCACCUAGGCGACGAUCCCUAGCUGGUCUGAGAGGAUGACCAGCCACACUGGAACUGAGACACGGUCCAGACUCCUACGGGAGGCAGCAGUGGGGAAUAUUGCACAAUGGGCGCAAGCCUGAUGCAGCCAUGCCGCGUGUAUGAAGAAGGCCUUCGGGUUGUAAAGUACUUUCAGCGGGGAGGAAGGCGGUGAGGUUAAUAACCUCGCCGAUUGACGUUACCCGCAGAAGAAGCACCGGCUAACUCCGUGCCAGCAGCCGCGGUAAUACGGAGGGUGCAAGCGUUAAUCGGAAUUACUGGGCGUAAAGCGCACGCAGGCGGUCUGUUAAGUCAGAUGUGAAAUCCCCGGGCUUAACCUGGGAACUGCAUUUGAAACUGGCAGGCUUGAGUCUCGUAGAGGGGGGUAGAAUUCCAGGUGUAGCGGUGAAAUGCGUAGAGAUCUGGAGGAAUACCGGUGGCGAAGGCGGCCCCCUGGACGAAGACUGACGCUCAGGUGCGAAAGCGUGGGGAGCAAACAGGAUUAGAUACCCUAGGUAGUCCAG